rnacentral:rRNA from 1 species
UACGUAGGGGGCAAGCGUUGUCCGGAAUCAUUGGGCGUAAAGAGCGUGUAGGCGGCCCGAUAAGUCCGCUGUGAAAGUCCAGGGCUCAACCCUGGAAAGCCGGUGGAUACUGUCGGGCUCGAGUCCGGAAGAGGCGAGUGGAAUUCCUGGUGUAGCGGUGAAAUGCGCAGAGUAUCAGGAGGAACACCAAUGGCGAAGGCAGCUCGCUGGGACGGUACUGACGCUGAGACGCGAAAGCGUGGGGAGCGAACAGG